rnacentral:rRNA from 1 species
UAGGGAAUCUUCCGCAAUGGACGAAAGUCUGACGGAGCAACGCCGCGUGAGCGAUGAAGGCCUUCGGGUCGUAAAGCUCUGUUGUUAGGGAAGAACAAGUAUCGGAGUAACUGCCGGUACCUUGACGGUACCUAACCAGAAAGCCACGGCUAACUACGUGCCAGCAGCCGCGGUAAUACGUAGGUGGCAAGCGUUGUCCGGAAUUAUUGGGCGUAAAGCGCGCGCAGGCGGUCCUUUAAGUCUGAUGUGAAAGCCCACGGCUCAACCGUGGAGGGUCAUUGGAAACUGGGGGACUUGAGUACAGAAGAGGAAAGCGGAAUUCCACGUGUAGCGGUGAAAUGCGUAGAGAUGUGGAGGAACACCAGUGGCGAAGGCGGCUUUCUGGUCUGUAACUGACGCUGAGGCGCGAAAGCGUGGGGAGCAAAC